GACGAACGCUGGCGGCGUGCUUAACACAUGCAAGUCGAACGGAAAGGCCCCUUCGGGGGUGCUCGAGUGGCGAACGGGUGAGUAACACGUGGGUGAUCUGCCCUGCACUUUGGGAUAAGCCUGGGAAACUGGGUCUAAUACCGGAUAGGACUACGGCCUGCAUGGGUUGUGGUGGAAAGCUUUUGCGGUGUGGGAUGGGCCCGCGGCCUAUCAGCUUGUUGGUGGGGUGAUGGCCUACCAAGGCGUCGACGGGUAGCCGGCCUGAGAGGGUGUCCGGCCACACUGGGACUGGGAUACGGCCCAGACUCCUACGGGAGGCAGCAGUGGGGAAUAUUGCACAAUGGGCGCAAGCCUGAUGCAGCGACGCCGCGUGGGGGAAGACGGCCUUCGGGUUGUAAACCUCUUUCAGCACAGACGAAGCGCAAGUGACGGUAUGUGCAGAAGAAGCACCGGCCAACUACGUGCCAGCAGCCGCAGUAAAAC
rnacentral:rRNA from 1 species